rnacentral:rRNA from 1 species
UUGUCCUACGGGAGGCAGCAGUGAGGAAUAUUGGUCAAUGGGCUAAGGCCUGAACCAGCCAAGUCGCGUGAGGGAAGAAGGCCCUGCGGGUCGCAGACCUCUUUGGACGGGGAGUAAGGCCGCCGACGUGUCGGCGGAAGGAGAGUACCCGUAGAACAAGCAUCGGCUAACUCCGUGCCAGCAGCCGCGGUAAUACGGAGGAUGCGAGCGUUAUCCGGAUUUAUUGGGUUUAAAGGGUGCGCAGGCGGCACGGCAAGCCGGCGGUCAAAUCGGGGGGCUCAACCCCGCCCAGCCG